CAAGAAUAUCUCUCGCUCACCAAAUGGGAAAAAAGUAGUCCUCUGGACGAGGGAGGCAGACCGUGUAAUACUGACCACCUGUCAGCAGAGAGGAGCCAAGCCGGCCAUGUUUCAUGCCAUUGCAGCUCAGCUUGGCAACAAAACAGCCAACGUGGUUUUGGAGCGCUUUCAAGACCUCAUUAAGUUGUUCCACAAAUCCAGCA